rnacentral:rRNA from 1 species
UCAGCUCGUGUUGUGAAAUGUUGGGUUAAGUCCCGCAACGAGCGCAACCCUUAUCCUUUGUUGCCAGCGGUUCGGCCGGGAACUCAAAGGAGACUGCCAGUGAUAAACUGGAGGAAGGUGGGGAUGACGUCAAGUCAUCAUGGCCCUUACGAGUAGGGCUACACACGUGCUACAAUGGCGUAUACAAAGAGAAGCGACCUCGCGAGAGCAAGCGGACCUCAUAAAGUACGUCGUAGUCCGGAUUGGAGUCUGCAACUCGACUCCAUGAAGUCGGAAUCGCUAGUAAUCGUAGAUCAGAAUGCUACGGUGAAUACGUUCCCGGGCCUUGUACACACCGCCCGUCACACCAUGGGAGUGGGUUGCAAAAGAAGUAGGUAGCUUAACCUCGGGAGGGCGCUUACC